rnacentral:lncRNA from 1 species
GCACACUUCUACCAUCAAGAAUGUUCCCAGCAUCCAAAACAAUAAAUGCUGGACAUGACCAACUGAAGCUCACUGGAACUCAUAUUUCUUGUAACAAGGUUUCACCACAUUCACAUGAGGAACUUAAAGAAGGAAAUGAUAAAAGGAUGCUUUAGAGAGUUCCAAGAGACAUCAAAAUUUAUCAGCCAGGGCAUGGUUUUGCCAACAUCCCGAGGCAUUGGUCCAGAAAAUGAAUUGUCUCUCAAAUACAAUGAAUUCAGCUUUGAAGAAAAGUGUGGGAAUGGACCGUGAAAGCGGUUGGAACUCAAAUCCACAAUAGCUUGUUCUUGAAAUUUCAAUGAAUUUGGGACUCUCCCACUCAGUUGAUUAUUGGCAAAGUCCAAUAGGUCGACCUGCAAGUCCAACUUCCAAAACCAAUCAGGUAUAGUGUCUGAAAUCCUUGCAUUGUUGAGCACUAAUGUCUUCAGCUGGUUUUGGUUUCUCAGCCAUGCAGGAAAUUUGGGACCUAGUUGGCAUGUUCUGAGUUCCAGGUAAUUGAGUUUAAAAGGAGGAAUCCAUUUAGAACUCACAUUGAAGGCCAAGGUAACGUUUGGAGAUACCUUCUUGAUUGCCAACUCAGUUAAGUUUGUGAGGUUGGAGAAAUGAGACUCGGUUAUGACACCAACCCAAGGAUUCUCUGAGAGAUCCACUGCAACCAAUGCUGAGAGUUGCCCCACACUCUCUGGAAUUAUCCCAUUCAUUUGAUUUUCAGAGAUGUAGAAUUCUUUCAAGGACGACAAAUUUCCAAUGGAGUUUGGAAUUGACCCCACGAAUGAGUUGCUCCACAGACGAAGAGACUUUAAGUUCUUUAGAUGUCCCAAAGCAUCAGGAAGAAACCCACCCAGAUUAUCAUUGAACCCCGAAUCCAGAGACUCUAAGCUACUACCGUUUACACACUCGGACAAGCCAUCCAUGAAUCCAGUAAUCUCACCACUAAUACUGUUGAAAGAGAGUUUGAGAGUUCGCAAGUUGCAAAGCUUUCCUAAGUUUCCUGGUAGGUGACCUCCAAUAAAUAAAUUAGAAGACAAAUCAAUGUAUUUAAGGGAAAUCAAGAAACCAAAUCCAUCGGGAACACUGCCUUGAAGAUUGCUGGAGUUGAGAUCAAGGUAUGCAAGACUACUAAAGUUGAACAACCAGUGAGGUAUGGAGGAGCUGAAGCCAUUAUUGGAGAGAUCGAGCAUCGAAAGUGAGGUGACAUUACCAAAUGGAAGAGGGAGAUCAGGAAGGGAAGAAAGCCCACAUCCAGGUAAGCGUAGUUCCAAGAGUGAAGAAAGGGAGCUAACAGCUCGAUGCCAAUAAGCUGCAGCCUUGCUAAAAUCUAUAUUUCCCAAAUCAAGGUGUCUCAGAGAAGAAAGACCUGAUAACCAGUGCAGGUCAUUCUCAACUGAUUCAAGAGAAUAUGAGUUGAGAUCAAGAUAGAGCAGGCUAGAAAGGUUCCCUAGGUGGGGUGGGAUAGUUCCACCGAAGGAUGCACCUGAGAGACUGAGAUAUCUCAACCUCUUGAAUGAUCCAAUGAACUUGGGGAUUUUGAGUCCUCCAAAAUAGUUCAUGCUCAAGUCCAAGUACCUCAAAUAUUUCAAAUCAAGUAAAGAAUGACUUAUCUCGCCGCCAAAUGCAUGAGCUGCUCCAUAAUAAUCCCCAAAAGCACCGGUAGCUUCACCGUCGGCUUCUGGACUUCUAGCAUACCGGUUGCGAAGUUUGAGUUUGAUGACUUGAGGUGCCCUCUGGCUGCACACCACACCUCUCCAUCUACAGCAAUCCAGGCAACCCCAAGAAGAGAGCCUGCCGGAAGGAUCAGUAAGACCUUGUUUGAACUGAACAAGGGCUUUUCUCUCAAUUUCAGUGCAGCUGACAUUGAGAACGCCAUUGCAGGAACCAAGUUUAACAGUUUCAAGAUGGAGAAAAGUGGAGGAGAGGAAAAUAAGCAGAAGGAAAUGAAUGGAGGCAUUGAUAUUAGCCAUGUAGGUGGAACUGCAGCAGAAGUUGUAUGUAUGGAAUGCACAAAAUACUGAUACAAAUGCUUUUAAUAAGCCGGUUCAGAUCAUGUGUGGAGGUUUAGAAUAGUAAUGACAAAGAAAGUGCUUCUUACAAGAUGGAAACUCCACUAUCAAAAUCAUGACUUAUCUGGCGUCUUUUUCAUUUAUUUAAUGCUAACCCAUUUGAGUAGUUUAAUAUGCUAAUAUAUAUUUUUUUUCCAACUUUUUUUUCAAGUCAGCGGAUAACCAUUCAUGUUUCUUUUGGACUGGUAAUAUUGAUUUGGCUUAAUUUCCUUGGGGGAGCUCUCCAAGAAAUGGACCGUAAUAGAAAAAUUGGAAAAAUCAAUUUCUCACUAUUCCAACAUAAACCCAAGUGAGCAUAUAUAUUAUUAUAUAACAGUGAAGUAAUCACGAUUGACCGUGACUUGAGCCUUCUUUUUGCUGUUGUUUUUCCAAGUGGGACGUAAGUUUUAACUUUCCAUAUAACCAACUUUAGUCGAGAACCAUCAAUUUUCAAGAGAAGUUAAAGAGGUCCGGGGCACAGUUUCAUGGAAGCAUACUUAUGAUUUUGUAUUAGAAAAUGGUUAGGGAAAGCCAAAUGCUCCUUUGCAGUGGAGGAAACUUAAGCCAUGUGGAUUAACUUAUAAGAAGUGAAUGUUGAUAAAAUCACGCACAUACAGAAGAAAAAAAAUAAAGAACAUGACAUUUUUAACAUGAUCCCGCGAUCAACAUGAUCCCUACGUCCACAGAAUGCACUACCACUCAAGAAAGUAACUCAAAUAUUUCAAAUCAAGCAAAGAAAGACUGAUCUCACCGCCCAACUUGCCAUCUGUUCCAUCAUCAUUGAGACUACGCAGAUUGAGUUUGAUGACGUGUCCAAUCCUGUUGUUGCAGACUAGGCCUCUCCAUUUGCAGCACUCUUCCCCUACCCAAGAUGAGAAUCGAUGAGAAGGAUCUGUAAGGCCUUGUUUGAACUUGAGAAGAGCUACCCUCUCAGUUUCAAUGCAGGCUGCCCUAUGGUGAUGACCUUCACUGCAGCCUGUUUUAAGGGUUUCAUGGAAAAGAAACCCCGAGGACAUAAUGAAAAGAAAAAGAAGUUCAAAAGAGGCAUUGGUAGUAGCCCUGUUUGUCUGCGAGUUGCUGAAGUAGCAUACCGUGAAGCUCUAUAUAUAGGAACAAAUGCAAUUACCCCAAAGCUUGUCAUUGGACACACACUGAAAGAUGAUGAUGAAGUUGCUGACAGAGCAUGACUUGACAUAAUCGAACCCUGGCUAUUGAAUCUAUUGAUUCAAAUAGCAAAAUAGUUUAAUCAAAUAAUUUUAAUAGUUAUUUGUUUUAUUCUUUGUUUUCUCUGUUGGCAGUGUCCCUGAGUUAUCAAAUAUAGGUGUUUACNNNNNNNNNNNNNNNNNNNNNNNNNNNNNNNNNNNNNNNNNNNNNNNNNNNNNNNNNNNNNNNNNNNNNNNNNNNNNNNNNNNNNNNNNNNNNNNNNNNNUACCAGAAGAUAGAAGAAAAAACCAGACAUAGAUGCACAUUGGAAAAGCUUGGACUCAAUACUUUAUUAUAUUAUAAGAAUGUAAACAAAGCCAAACACCAUUGCAUACAAGCCUUCAUUUCUUUCAAGAAACUACUGCAAGUUAUUCAAAUACUACCCAGAUUCAGUUUCCUCCGCAGACGAGCCACAUUCAGUGAGAUAACCAUGAGCAGCCAUUCUUUCACGUCAUACACAAGCCUAAAAUAAGCAUGCCUCCACGAAUCCUUGACUAUUAAGGUGCCACAAACUCCCCAAAAUCCCACCGCAAAUCCUGGCCCCAUGCUCACGUAGAACCACUUCAUUUCAAAGCCAUUUCCGUUCUCAUUCUCAUCCUCUUCACUGUCCCUACUGCGUGGUUUAGGCGGCUCAUCAUCACCAGGGCACUUGGCUGUUGUUGGAGGCCCACAGAGUGCAGGGUUGUUCUCAUAUAUGGAUGGAUCAUCCAGGGUUUGCAACUGGUUGCCUGUUGGAAUUCUACCUGACAGGUUGUUAUACGACAGGUUCAAGUGAUUCAAGGAAGUCAAAGAAGCCAUACCUGGGGGGAUUACGCCUGAAAGCUGGUUCCUUGAGAGGUCAAGAGUUUCUAACCCCUGUAAGCUCGCAAUCUUGUCUGGUAUUUUUCCUGUCAAAUGGUUUAUGGACAAGUUCAAGGUGCCAAGUCUUGAAAGAUUUGUUACUCCUUCAGGCACCUCUCCAGAUAGGUUAUUGUUUGACAAGUCCAUACUAUUAACCAGAUAAAGAAUACUUUUGUACAAGUCUUCUCUUCCUUUCCUCCAUACCAUCAACUCGGCCUCAUAUCGUUGAGAGUCAAUUUCAGAGACCAUGCCACUCAAAUUCCCCACACAAGAGGGAAUGAAUCCCGACAAAUUAUUUUCUCCAAGAUCCAGUAUGUGGAGAGAAGAAAGAGUGCACAAUUGUGAUGGAAUACUCCCAUGGAACAAAUUUGAUCGUAAGCGUAGAAUAAGCAAGUUAGGCAUCCUUUCUCCUAUCCAUGCUGGAACAUUGCCUGAAAAUCUGUUGCCUCCAAGAUCAAGAGUAUGAAUGGCUGUGCAAUUCUGCAAAGCUGAAGGAAUUUCGCCAGAAAGAUGAUUGUUGCUUAUCAUUAGGAAUCUAACAAAUCUUAGGGAACCCAUAGAACUUGGCAGCUCACCAGAUAAAUUGUUGUUGUUCAUGUCUAAAACAUAUAGGUCAGGUAAACCAUUCCAAAAUUCUGGAAUUCCUCCAGACAAAUGAUUGUUGGAGAUGACAAGGGUCAAUAAGUUAGUUAGUUUCCCGAAGGAGAGGGGAAUGGUGCCAUAUAGAGCAUUCCAGGAGAGAUCUAGAUCUGUCAGCAUGGACAUUCUUUCACCAAGCUCCUGAGGAAUUGGGCCAGAAAAGAAAUUGUCAUAUAAAUUCAGUCUCGUCACAUUGGAUGACCAUAAUGGCAAGGGCCCCUGAAAGUUGUUUUCUUCCAAAUCAACAGUGGCUCCAGGAAGGAACUUCAUUGAGUUUGGCACCCUGCCACCCAGGUUAUUAGAACCGAUGUCCAGCUCAUCAAGAUGCAAAUCCAACUUCCAAAACCACUCCGGUAUGGUGCCUGAGAUCCUAGCAUUACUGAGCACUACAGAGGUGAGCUCGGUUUGAUUUCUAAGCCAUGCGGGAAACUUGGGACCCAUUUGGCAUGAUCUUAUUCUGAGGAGGCUGAGUUUAAAGGGAGGAAUCCACUCAGGACUGAUAUUAAAGACCAGGGAAACUCUUGGGGUCACUCUAUAGUUUGAAAACUCCUUUAAACUUGUAAGAUUUGAAAAAUGAGCCUCUGUUACAACUCCCAUCAGUGGAUUCUCAGAUAGCUCUAUCGCAACCAACUUGGAAAGUCCUCCAAGAGUUUCAGGGAUGGUCCCAUUCAUUGAGUUAUCUGAGAGGUACAAUUCUUCCAAAUGCGAUAAGUUUCCAAUUGAACUCGGAAUUGAGCCUACAAAGGAGUUAUCCCAAAGCCAAAGAGACUUCAAGUUAUGGAGUUUUCCAAGGGAAUUAGGAAGAAAACCACCCAGAUCAUUGAAGCCCAGAUCCAGCGUCUCUAACCAACUGCUGUUGCACCCAGAUAAAACAUCAAUCAGUUCAGUUAUUUCCCCAUUCAAAUCGUUCUGAGAAAGGAUCAAUGUUUUCAAAUUGCACAGACUACCCAUGUUUCUUAAUCUUUCAAUAGAAGUCCUGUUUGCAAAAGAAUCUAGAAUUGAGCCUCGUAGAUUGUUGGAACUGAGAUCUAGAUACACAAGAUUCCUCAUCUGGAAUAACCAGUGGGGUAUUGUGGAGUUGAAACCAUUGCUGGAAAGAUCGAUGACUGAAAGAGAAGUGAUCAGACUGGAAAAUGGAAGAGAGGGAGGAAGGUCUGCAAGUGCACAAGCAGGUAGGUGCAACUCCAAAAGAGAAGAAAUCUUGCUAACAGCUUGAAGCCAAUAAGCUGCAGCCUGGCUUAGAUCUACACCUCCUAAAUUAAGGUGUCUUAACGAAGUAAGACCCGAUAUCCAAUGAAGAUCAUCCUGGCUUGACUCAUCGAAGUAUUCCUUAAGAUCAAGGUAAUGCAGGCUGGAAAGAUUUCCAAGUUGUGGAGGAAUAGGUCCACCAAAGGAUGCACCAGAGAGAUUGAGAUAUCUCAACUUCUCCAAUGAACCAAUGAACUCGGGGAUUGGAAUCCCUCCAAAAUUGUUCAUGCUCAAGUCUAAGUAAUUCAAAUAUUUCAAGUCAAGCAAAGCAGGACUGAUCUUACCACCCAACUCGCCUUCUGUUCCGUCACUAUCAAGAUAACGCAGUGUGAGUUUGAUGACAUGACCGCUCCUGUUGUUGCAGACCACGCCUCUCCAUUUGCAGCAGUCUUCCCCGACCCAAGAUGAGAGCCGACCCGAAGGAUCUGUGAGGCCUUGUUUGAACUUGAGAAGAGCCACCUUCUCAGUGUCAAUGCAACCCCUUUGAUGAUCACCCUGGCAGGAGCCAACUUUAAUGAUUUCAUGGAAAAGAAACCCUGAGGACGUGAUGAUAAGAAAAAGAAGUUGAAUGAAGACGUUGUUAUUAGCCAUGCUUGUCGCCACUGGAAGACGUAGUGCUAUUCAGAGGCCACCUGUGGUGAAGCUCUAGAUAUAUAGGCAUACACCCCAUAGUCUUUGUCACUGGACGUUUUCUAAGGGAUGAAAACAUGAAGAAGACGUUGAUGACUAAUAAUACAUGAUUUCAAGUAAUUCAUCAUUACUUGUUGGAUUAACUUGAUGGAUUAGCUUGAUGGAUCAUCACGUGACUCACAUCUACAUUUUCUCUUUCUCAUAAACAAGGGGCCGUGGUGGGUACUAUAAAUGUGAAUGCAAGAAGCAGCAAAGGAAGAAAAUGAAAAGGCUAGCCUAUAUUCUCGUGCUCGCUCAAUAAAAUUCAAAAGACAGGAAACAAAAGCAAAUCUAAUUCAUUGAGCUUAAGUCAAGGGACAAUCUCAUUAAAAAGAAUUAAAAGAGAGUUUCAGUUUUUGACUAAAAAUAGUAAGUUUAACACAAAAAAAAAAAAUCAUAAAGUAAACUUGAUUCCAAAAUUGUCCAAUUUAGUGCGUCUUGGUCACGUACGCCUCCACGUCACAAAACUGUAAUUAGUGACAACAAUUUUCAUUUUUCUUAAAUGAUCAAAAUCGUAAUCACCGACCACGGCUAUAACUUUUAAAACCGUAGUUGGAAACUACAGCUUUGAUUAUUUUGAGAAAAAAUUAAAGUCAUAAUCAUCAAUUACAGUUUUAAGCUUAAAGUUAAAGUCAUGGUUGAUAACUACAGUUUUAAAUUUUUUUUAAAUGGUCAAAGUCGUUGUCAUCAACUAUGGCUUUAACUUAAAAUUUAUAUAUAUAUAUAAUUAUAUUGUUUCAUUUGAAAUAUUUAACUUUGAUUUUUUUAAAUAAAAUAAUUAUUUAUUUUUAUUUUAUAUUUUUUAAAAAUAUGUGAGUGGCUAAUAAACUUAUAAAAUUAUUUUAAAAAAUAAUAAUAUAUGAAAUUAAAUAUUUGAUAAUUUUAAUUUGAUAUAAAAAUAUUUUUGUUUAAUUUUAUUAAAACAAUUGGCACAAUAUUUAAUAUAAAUAUAAUUACUUAAUUAUAUUUCAAUAUAAAUUAAAUAUAAUAAAUUAUAUUUAUUUAAAGCAAAUAAAUUAUGAAAGCCUGCUUAGAAAAAAAAUCAUAUAAAUUAUUAUAUUAAUUAAUUAUUUUUUAUAUACUAUAAUGUAAGUGGUAUAUAAUAUCACAUGUAGUUCAAUUUAAAUUUAAAAUUUAUUAUAUUUUCAUUUAAACAUAUAAUAAUUUGUUCAUAAUAAAAAUAAAAAUAAAAACAAAUAAACAACAUAAUACAAAUGAAAAUAAACACAAAAAAUGAAAAACAAUCCUCAAUGAGUAUCACAUGAUGGGGUCUUCCUCUUUUUCUAUGACUGCCUAUGAUACAAAGACAUAUUAGUUGAAUCUAUCUAUGCAAUUUGUCAUGUCUCCAUAUGUGUAAAUUGAGAUAGAGCUAACGGAGGCAAGGCUCGAUGUCUACGUGGAUCACAACUUUGCCUAGAUGGGCAUACAUUUAGUUGUGUAACAUGUGUGGGGGUAUGAUGCAUGGCAGUCUCUAUGGGAAGACGUGUAGGUGAUGGUAAGAUGGUAGAUGGUGGGGCGAUCUCAGGUAGGUGAUAUCUAAUAUGGUGGCUUCUAGGAGAUGUGAUAUAGGAGACGGUAGAAUGACAUUUGGUGUAAUGGUCUCCAAUGCAAUAACAUUUGAUAUAGUAACUUCUAGGAAAUGAGAUAUAGAUGAUGAUAGUGAGGUGACAUGUGGUAUAGUGGUCUCCUCGAGAAAAGGUAGAGGUGAUGGUAGAUUAUAGAUGGUAGGGUGAUCUCUAGUGUAGAGGUGUGUCCAAUACGUCAGGCCGCCCAUUUUGGCCCGUGGCUUGGCACGCCAAAAGACUAAACCGGGUUGGCACAACCCAAAGAAGCGAGUCGUAUUGGGCCUAAGGAAACAGUCCAUCAUGCCACCAUGUCAACCCGUCUCCUUAUUUUUUUCAUGUAAUUUGUUGAAAUAUUGAAUAAAAUAAUUUUUUUUUUUUUAUACUUCAUUUCCUUUUAUAUUCCAUUAUUUUAAAUUUAUUGUUAUUUUGAUAAAUAAAAAAGCAAAUUCAAAUGUAAUUUUUUUACUAUUUUUAAAAACAAAAAAACUAACAUUUCUAUAAAUUUUACAAUUACAAACUCAAUAAAUAUAAAUAUAAAAUAUAAAAAUAUAUAAUUAUUAGAGGUGUAUUAAAAAAAAGUAUAAUUAUUAGAGGUGUUUAAAGUAAUAAAAAGAAAUUUUAUUUAAUAAUGAAAAAAACUUAAGACAAAAAGACUUAAAAAAAUUAAAUUAAAACUUUUAACAAAGCAAGUGGCCCAUGGGCCAUGGCCCGUCGGCACGGCACAGCCCCUAGCAUGGAACGGCACGAUUAGCCUGUGGGCUUAUGGGCCACCUAUUUGGCUUGCAUGGGCUAGCCCAACCCAGCAAGAUUUGUAAGUGGGUUGUGCUGGCUUGGCACGUUGGCCCAUUAGCACAACCCAUUGGACACCUCUACUUUAGUGUAGUGACAUCAGAUAUAGUGGUCUCUAUGGAAAAAAAAAUAAAGAUUAUGGUAAGGCAGUACUGAUACUACAAGAAAUUUUACUUUUCCCAACUAACAUACACCGUCGGAAUAAACAUUUAUCAACUGAUAAUUCUGACAUAUAGUGGUCGAGGAAAGGUGUGUUGGCAAAAGUCUAUCGAUAUGAAUUUUUCGUCACCCAUAAAUAAAAUUUAGCGACAAACUAUUGAAUGGAUUUGGACCAUCUCUAUUACCAACGGAUUAUGUUGGUUGGAAAAUGUAAAUAAUAAAUUAUUUUAGAUUGUCAUUAAAUUUUGAUUUCAUUAGUUUUUUUUUUUUUACUUUUAGUAAGCAUAAAGUUUAAUGUCUAUUUGAUAAAUGUUUUCAAAAAUGCUUUUUUAUUCUUCAAAACAAAAAAUAAAUAAAUAAAUAAAAAAUAGGACAACCAGAGAACAAAAAAUAUUUUAUGUUCUUAAAAGUAAAAAAUAUAGUGUUUUCAAAUAACAUUUUUUAGUUGUUUUCACUUGUUUUUCUAUUAUUAUUUUAAACAAUAAUUAUGUAAAUAUGGAGAAUGACUAAAAAUGAAUCAUUGUAUAUAAAAAAAAAAUUUAAACAUAUUUAAAAACAUACAAAACAAAUUAAAAAUAUUUUAAGUUUCUUAAUAGACAUUUGUUCUACAAAACAUUAGAAAACAAUUUUUGAAAAUUAUUUUUAAAAACAAUUUUUUUAAAUUGUUUUCGAAAGCAAUUAGAAGUAGAGGAUCUUUUAUAUAGAUAUAUAUAAAAGUUACUAAAUUUUUUCUGUUUUAAUAACAAAAACUUAGUAAAAUCAUUUCAUUUAAUUUGAAAGAAUGAAUAACAAUUAAAAGAAGUUAAUUUGGCAUUCUACUUCAUAGAUUUGCUCAACCUCAAAAAAUUUGGAAUAAAUCCAAUUUGCGUUAGUCAUGUAAUAUUGCAUGUGUUAAAUAGAAAAUCCGCUCGAAUAUUUGACUUAGAAUAUAAUAUUGAAAUAUGAAUGAAAAAUAAUACAAAAAGAUAUUCAUUACCCACUUUAUUUCUUGUGAUUUUGCCUACUGCUUUUCAAAUGAUUGAAAGGUAUACAAAUCAAGACUUACCUAUUUCUAAUUUUCCACUUAGUGAGUUAUGGUGCACCUUCAAAAUUUAUACUUGAGUUGAUACUUGUUUUAUGCAUUUUAAAAACUUGUCGUACCAUCACUAGUCCCUCCAAAAGCCUUAAUUUUUGUUAACUUAUUAGAUGGAAAGGUUUUUUUUUUUUUUUUUGCUUUAGAAAAAAACAAAAGGAAAAUAUCUUAGACUAGAAAUGUUUCCUAAACUCAUGUGCAACACUUAAAUAAGAGUCACUUGACAUUGUUAGAUUGGAUUUUCCCCAAUCCUUAGUUCGCUCUACUAAGCAAGGCACACGGCUCGAAAGUUGGAAGCAACAUUUAGAGGGUUUGGAAGAAUGAGACUUAUAUCGCAUAGGAAUGCUUUACAAGGUUAGAAAUCCUCUUAAGUGCUUGAUGCCUUAGCCAAAUGAGAUUAUCCUUUAUUAAUAAGCACUUAUGAAACUCUCUAGAACCUCAAAAUUUUAUGGCCAAAUGAGAAAAUUUUAUGAUUUUUUAGUUGAAAAUAUCUUUUAGGGGAGAAAUUUUCAUUUAAAAAUAUUUGAUUCAAUGUAAAUUUCAUCCAUACUCUCUUAUUUGUCAUUUUUAGGGUAAAACCCAAAUUUCUUUUUGUGUGAAUUCAAGAAGAGGUGAAAAUCAAGUUUAGUGUGAACUUCAAAUAUGUUUUGAAAGAAGAAGAUGAAUAACUAAAGUUUGGAGAUAGUAGACAAAUCGUUUAUGAGAGGAUUGAAGGUCUUAGGCUAGUAAAUCUUUUUACUUGGUUAUUUUAUUUAUAGUUGAUGUUUUUUAUCACUUGCGGUGUCAUGGUCUUUAUCCCUAUCCCUUCGUUUCAUUUUGUUUAUCUUAGCUUGUAAAAUUUUCAUCGAUUUAUCUUUAGAAUAAUGAGAAAUAAUUUCUUGGUUUUAAUUUUGAUGGAUAUUUGAAAAUGUGUUUUGAAUAGUUAAGAUUCUUUGUAAAUCUUGAGCGACAAGUGUUGGCUCAUUUGCACAUGAAUUACAUUAACUAGCUUCUUAGGAGAGCGUUAGUACAUCCAUUCUUGCAUGUGUAUUUGGUUGCUUGUUAAUAACAAUGAAAAAGUAAACAUCGAAAUAUCACGGAGUAUUUAGCAUUUGUGAGGUACCAUCUCAGUAUUUUUAAGAACACUUCUUCACCCCUCUAGAUGUUACCUAUAAUGGAGAUUCAUCCAUAAUGUCAAUUGUCCAUCCAAAUUCCAAUGCAAUGAUUAUAUAACUAGUGCUUAAGUAUCGUUUUUCACUAAUCAGAUCCGUUAGGCCCUCGUAUUGAAUCACAAGUCUUUGUUCCCAAUCCAAAUGCACCAUCCUUGCAGCACCUUCAACUUAAACCAACCAUCCAAACUAUGCUCAAUUUGGACAUUGACAAAAAUCAUCUCAAGAAAAUAAAAAAAUAAAAAAAAUCCUAAGCUCCAUAUGUAUUAUAGAAGAAUAUCAAUAACCAAAACAAAUUGACAUCUCAUAUGGUGCACCAACAAAAUUCAAUUGUGGUUUAUAAAUUGCAUUUAGUAUUCAGGCAUGUAAUAAAGAAGAUGUGUUGGUUGCAUCCACUACCAUCUCAUUGCAGGAGAAACCAUUAAUAGCAACCAUCUCCAACUCAAUUUGUUUGCUUCAAUAUUCUUAUUCAUAUUUUCUGAACGCCUGACAAAGCUUUUGGGGGGAACACUUCAUUUUGCAGACAUGUUCCUCCAUCCAGUUAUAUAUAGUUAAAACAAUUCAUACAACCAGAUUCCUUUGAAAUCCACACCAUCAUUUCAUCAGUCAUCAGUGCCAAAGUACCGGUCACCAAACUCCCCCAUGCCUGGUAUCACCCUGAACUCUUCAUUCAAUGCAACAUCAAUCUCUGAAGUCACAAUUUUCAGGGAUGGGAACCGUUUGCAAACACAAUGGAUUCCCUCAGGCGCCUAGGUUUAACAUCAGUAAACAGUGGGAUCAACAUAUGUAGAAAUUGGAAUUGUACGAAGAUUAAGUAAAUAUCAGCAGCUGGGGUCGGAGAGGGACUCACAGAGAUGAGGUUUAGGAAUAUUAUAUGAGAUUCUGGAACUCCUUUCUGAAUGAGUAGUUCAAUUGCUUGGCCAGCAGAAUUCCCUUCAAAGAAGACAUCAGUCAAGAUCGUUUAGGCUCAAAUUGUCAAGAUGAAUGACUCAUUUUUCUGCCUUUCUUUCAAUCAUUAGCUUCUAAACCCUUUUAUUUUUAUAAGAAUUUUUCCUAUUUUUGAAGGGAUCUCUUCUUUCUUUCUUCUUCAUAUUUCUCUUAAAUUUGUUUCUCAUCAGAAGUUCUAAAAAAUAAUGCAACUCUUUCUACUGAAGUUCUUACAUCAUUCAAUCCUUUCAUGUAACUAUGAAAGAUGGAUAUGAACCUCAAAAGAGAGCAAGUGACAAUAGAGCUUCAGAGAAACACAGGGAUUACAAAACAGCUACCUGUAGCAAGAACUGGGUCCAGAAGCAGGACAUGCCGUUCUGAAAUGUCCUUGGGAAGUUUCUCAUAUAUGAGCUGCUUAGAGUCAGCAAAUUAGAUAAUAAAAAUUACUUAUACACAAAUCUUACAAGAAGAAGAGAAAGCAAAACACUGGAAUCCAGCAGAAAAUUUUCUUGACACAAAACUGUACAACCAUACCUGUUUCCCAUUAUCUCCAUCACGGUGAAUCAGAAUUUUUCCAAUUUUUAUUCCUUUGCAACAUGCACGUAAUGCAUUCUCCAUACUUUCACCACUACAAAUGGUAGAAAGAACUUCGUCAAAACAUUUGUGGAGGCAUAGAAAGUCAGUAAACUACUACAAAGCACACUUCUACCAUCAAGAAUGUUCCCAGCAUCCAAAACAAUAAAUGCUGGACAUGACCAACUGAAGCUCACUGGAACUCAUAUUUCUUGUGACAAGGUUUCACCACAUUCACAUGAGGAACUUAAAGAAGGAAAUGAUAAAAGGAUGCUUAUACAAGCUAAAAGUUUGAAGUAUUAGAAAGUAGCAGAGGAUAAAAUAAGUGUAGGCAGAAAGGGACUUCUUUGCCAGCAUAUCCAAUAUACUGUAAAAAUUAAAGUGAGUUCAGAAUAUUCAACCAAAAAGUUAGGGCAAAAACAGAAAAAAGAGAGAACCAUUCCAUUGAAAGGCCUAAAAAGGAGCAUGCUAAUAUGCAAAGUAUAAAAUGGAAGGAGAACCAGAACCUCAAAACUAUACUCGGACAAUUUUUGCCUUUGGAUAGGAUAAAUUGCAAGAUAUUGUAAUGGAUAUCAAUCCUCUGGACCUAGACAAUGGGAAAAAUGAAAUCGGAAAUAGUGGGAAAAACCAAUGCAGAUAUUGGUUCAACUUCAUUAGGACUUCAAUUGAAAACUUCAUAGGGGG